rnacentral:rRNA from 1 species
GGAUUUCCGAAGUAUACACAUCAUCAACCCUGUGACAUACCUAAACGUUGCUUCGGCGGGAACAGACGGCCCCGUAACACGGGCCGCCCCCGCCAGAGGACCCCCUAACUCUGUUUCUAUAAUGUUUCUUCUGAGUAAAACAAGCAAAUAAAUUAAAACUUUCAACAACGGAUCUCUUGGCUCUGGCAUCGAUGAAGAACGCAGCGAAAUGCGAUAAGUAAUGUGAAUUGCAGAAUUCAGUGAAUCAUCGAAUCUUUGAACGCACAUUGCGCCCGCCAGUAUUCUGGCGGGCAUGCCUGUUCGAGCGUCAUUACAACCCUCAGGCCCCCGGGCCUGGCGUUGGGGAUCGGCGGAGCCCCCCGCGGGCACACGCCGUCCCCCAAAUACAGUGGCGGUCCCGCCGCAGCUUCCAUUGCGUAGUAGCUAACACCUCGCAACUGGAGAGCGGCGCGGCCACGCCGUAAAACCCCCAACUUCUGAACGUUGACCUCAAAUCAGGUAGGAAUACCC